rnacentral:rRNA from 1 species
ACAAGCGAAAAACUUAAAACUCAAAGGACUUGACGGUGUCCCACCCGUACUAGAGGAGCCUGUCCGAUAAUCGAUACCCCGCGCUUUACCUUACCCCCCCUAGAGACUCAGCCUAUAUACCGCCGUCGCCAGCCCAUCGCGCGUGAGUGAACCAUCGAGGACGCAAGAAUUAUAAACUAAAACGACAGGUCAAGGUGUAGCUAAUGGGGGGGACAGAGAUGAGCUACAUUUUCUUUACUAGAAAACACCAACCACAGGAUGAAACAUCCUGCCACCAGGCGG